rnacentral:rRNA from 1 species
GACGGGUUUUCCUUCGGGGUAGCUUAGCGGCGGACGGGUGAGUAACACGUAGGCAACCUGCCCCUUAGCCUGGGAUAACUACCGGAAACGGUAGCUAAUACCGGAUAAUCCCUUUCCUCGCCUGAGGAAAGGAUAAAAGGCGGAGCAAUCUGCUGAUAAGGGAUGGGCCUGCGGCGCAUUAGCUAGUUGGUGAGGUAACGGCUCACCAAGGCGACGAUGCGUACCGACCUGAGAGGGUGAACGGCCACACUGGGACUGAACACGGCCCAACUCCUACGGGAGGCACAUAGGAAUCUUCCGCAAUGGGCAAACCUGAGACAACCCCGGAGA